rnacentral:rRNA from 1 species
UACGUAGGUGGCAAGCGUUAUUCGGAAUUAUUGGGCGUAAAGGGUGCGCAGGCGGUAAUCAAAGAUUGUGGUUAAAGAAUGGGGCUCAACUCCAUAAAGCCAUGAUAACUAGAUAACUAGAGUACAGAAGAGGAAAGCGGAAUUCCAUGUGUAGCGGUGAAAUGCGUAGAUAUAUGGAGGAACACCAGUGGCGAAGGCGGCUUUCUGGUCAUGUACUGACGCUGAGGCACGAAAGCGUGGGGAGCAAAUAGGAUUAGAUACCCUAGUAGUCCACGCCGUAAACGAUGAGUACUAAGUGUUGGGGCAACCCAGUGCUGAAGCAAACGCAUUAAGUACUCCGCCUGGGGAGUAUGCUCGCAAGAGUGAA